rnacentral:rRNA from 1 species
AGAAAGCCCCGGCUAACUACGUGCCAGCAGCCGCGGUAAUACGUAGGGGGCAAGCGUUGUCCGGAAUUAUUGGGCGUAAAGCGCGCGCAGGCGGUUCCUUAAGUCUGAUGUGAAAGGCCACAGCUCAACUGUGGAGGGCCAUUGGAAACUGGGGAACUUGAGGACAGAAGAGGAGAGCGGAAUUCCACGUGUAGCGGUGAAAUGCGUAGAUAUGUGGAGGAACACCAGUGGCGAAGGCGGCUCUCUGGUCUGUAACUGACGCUGAGGCGCGAAAGCAUGGGUAGCGAACAGGAUUAGAUACCCUGGUAGUCCAUGCCGUAAACGUUGAGUGCUAGGUGUUAGGGGGUCCAACCCUUAGUGCUGCAGUUAACGCAAUAAGCACUCCGCCUGGGGAGUACGGCCGCAAGGCUGAAACUCAAAGGAAUUGACGGGGGCCUGCACAAGCGGUGGAGCAUGUGGUUUAAUUCGACGCAACGCGAAGAACCUUACCAGGUCUUGACAUCUUCGGACAGCCCAAGAGAUUGGGUCUUCCCUUCGGGGACCGAAUGACAGGUGGUGCAUGGUUGUCGUCAGCUCGUGUCGUGAGAUGUUGGGUUAAGUCCCGUAACGAGCGCAACCCCUGAUCUUAGUUGCCAGCAUUCAGUUGGGCACUCUAGGAUGACUGCCGGUGACAAACCGGAGGAAGGCGGGGAUGACGUCAAAUCAUCAUGCCCCUUAUGACCUGGGCUACACACGUGCUACAAUGGAUGGUACAAAGGGAAGCCAAACCGCGAGGUCGAGCUAAUCCCAUAAAGCCAUUCUCAGUUCGGAUUGUAGGCUGCAACUCGCCUGCAUGAAGCCGGAAUCGCUAGUAAUCGCGGAUCAGAAUGCCGCGGUGAAUACGUUCCCAGGCCUUGUACACACCGCCCGUCACACCACGAGAGUUGGCAACACCCGAAGUCGGUGGGGUAACCUUCACGGAGCCAG